UGGGGAAUUUUGGACAAUGGGCGAAAGCCUGAUCCAGCCAUGCCGCGUGUGUGAAGAAGGUCUUCGGAUUGUAAAGCACUUUAAGUUGGGAGGAAGGGCAGUAAGCGAAUACCUUGCUGUUUUGACGUUACCGACAGAAUAAGCACCGGCUAACUCUGUGCCAGCAGCCGCGGUAAUACAGAGGGUGCAAGCGUUAAUCGGAAUUACUGGGCGUAAAGCGCGCGUAGGUGGUUCGUUAAGUUGAAUGUGAAAGCCCCGGGCUCAAACUGGGAACUGCAUCCAAAACUGGCGAGCUAGAGUAGGGCAGAGGGUGGUGGAAAUUCCUGUGUAGCGGUGAAAUGCGUAGAUAUAGGAAGGAACACCAGUGGCGAAGGCGACCACCUGGGCUCAUACUGACACUGAGGUGCGAAAGCGUGGGGGGCAAACAGG
rnacentral:rRNA from 1 species